rnacentral:lncRNA from 1 species
AUUCCAGUGGGCCUGAAAGGGAUCUCUACACACUAACAAGUACAAAUGAAUAACAACAGAACAAGAAUGCUGUCUUUUCUUAAAGCAUCUUAAAUCCCUUUUUCUAUUCCUAGACACUUCACAGUGCUUAAUGAGCAUGUGAGAAAAAGCCACGAAAGGACAUUGCUUUGAAAGCAAAUGCUUGCUUGCAAUUUUGUAUGGACCAUGUGCUACCAGUUUUACCCAUUUCCACAGAAG